rnacentral:rRNA from 1 species
GACGAACGCUGGCGGCGUGCUUAACACAUGCAAGUCGAACGAAGUGGCGAACGGGUGAGUAACGUGUAAUCAACCUGCCCUUCAGAGGGGGACAACAGUUGGAAACGACUGCUAAUCCCGCAUACUGAAGGUGGGUAUUGCGUCGUAUUAGCUAGUUGGGGGGGUAACGGCCCACCAAGGAGAUGAUCAGUAGCCGGUCUGAGAGGAUGAACGGCCAAAUUGGGACUGGGGAACGGCCCAGACUUCUACGGGAGGCAGCAGUGGGGAAUCUUCCGCAAUGGACGAAAGUCUGACGGAGCAACGCCGCGUGAGUGAUGACGGCCUUCGGGUUGUAAAGCUCUGUUAAUCGGGACGCGGUACCGGAAUAGAAAGCCACGGCUAACUACGUGCCAGCAGCCGCGGUAAUUC